AGAGUUUGAUCCUGGCUCAGAAUCAACGCUGGCGGCGUGCCUCAGACAUGCAAGUCGAACGAUUAAAGCUCUCUUCGGAGAGUGUAUAGAGUGGCGCACGGGUGAGUAACACGUAAGUAAUCUACCCUCGAGUGGGGAAUAACGUCCGGAAACGGACGCUAAUACCGCAUAAUGCAGCGGCACCGCAAGGUGACAGUUGUUAAAGAUUUAUCGCUUGAGGAGGAGCUUGCGGCAGAUUAGCUAGUUGGUAAGGUAAUGGCUUACCAAGGCUACGAUCUGUAACCGGUCUAAGAGGACGGUCGGUCACACUGACACUGAAUAACGGGUCAGACUCCUACGGGAGGCAGCAGUCGGGAAUUUUGGGCAAUGGGCGAAAGCCUGACCCAGCAGCGCCGCGUGAAGGAUGAAGUAUUUCGGUAUGUAAACUUCGAAAGAAUGGGAAGAAUCAAUGACGGUACCAU
rnacentral:rRNA from 1 species